UGGUUAGUUGGCUUCAGGCUCUUCUGGAUCAAGUAACCAGUAGCCCUCUGAUCCCUGCCAUGGCAUCUUCUUUCUUCUGGAUUUAGCUAACUGGAACUUACAGGAGCUGAUAAAUCUUGGUGUCUGUGAUCACCCCAUGUCCUGUUCUUUCCUUUCUUGUCUG